CACACGACUCUCGGCAACGGAUAUCUNGGCUCUCGCAUCGAUGAAGAACGUAGCGAAAUGCGAUACCUGGUGUGAAUUGCAGAAUCCCGCGAACCAUCGAGUCUUUGAACGCAAGUUGCGCCCGAGGCCAUCCGGCCGAGGGCACGCCUGCCUGGGCGUCACG
rnacentral:rRNA from 1 species